GCAUUAAUGGGGUAGUGGUAACCUGGGUCGUUGCCAUGCGUUGUCGACCCGCCGGGAGUUCGAUUCUCUCUUAAUGCA